GUAAUUUUCGUGUUACCGUGAUAUAAACUAAUUUUUUUAUGAAUAACAGUUUUAUAAAGGACAAUUACUCUUCCUGGUAAAUGUAUUUAUAAUAAAACAAUCUACUAACAUUUAACAGCACAUUAAUAACGAGUCAUACAAAUCAUAUUUUAACGCAAAUCAACAGUGGUAUUCGGUUACUUAAUUACAUAAUACAUUUUGUACAAUCCAAGUUAAAAAGUUGAACUUAGAUCAUAUCCCUGGUUAACCCAUGCAAUUACUAGGUUUGGCCUUUGUUUAAUUAAAUAAAACUACAAAAAAAAAAAAAAUUUUUAAUAAAAGUAUCCAUUAUACCAAUAUUAUUUUUAUAAAUAACAGAAUUCAAUAACAUUUAAUGACAAAUUAUAGUUUAUAAGCAUCAUUUAAUGUGAACAAUCAAAUUAGAAGCAUCAAGAAUUGUAAUGAAAUUAGACAUAGGAGGG